rnacentral:rRNA from 1 species
CCCUUAGAUGUUCUGGGCCGCACGCGCGCUACACUGAUGCAUUCAACGAGUCUAAAACCUGGUCUGAUAGGGCUGGGUAAUCUUUUGAAUGUGCAUCGUGAUUGGGAUAGAUGAUUGCAAUUCUUCAUCUUCAACGAGGAAUGCCUAGUAAACGCAAGUCAUCAGCUUGCAUUGAUUACGUCCCUGCCCUUUGUACACACCGCCCGUCGCUCCUACCGAUUGUAUGUUCCGAUGAAUACCAUGGACUGAGAGUAUGAAUGGGUUCGCCUAUUUCUGCUUCUCGGGAAGUGGAGUAAAUCUUAACAUUUAGAGGAAGGAGAAGUCGUAACA